rnacentral:rRNA from 1 species
GACGAACGCUGGCGGCGUGCUUAACACAUGCAAGUCGAACGGAAAGGCCCUGCUUGCAGGGUACUCGAGUGGCGAACGGGUGAGUAACACGUGGGUGAUCUGCCCUGCACUUCGGGAUAAGCCUGGGAAACUGGGUCUAAUACCGGAUAGGAGCCAUUUUUAGUGUGAUGGUUGGAAAGUUUUUUCGGUGUAGGAUGAGCUCGCGGCCUAUCAGCUUGUUGGUGGGGUAAUGGCCUACCAAGGCGGCGACGGGUAGCCGGCCUGAGAAGGUGGACGGCCACAUUGGGACUGAGAUACGGCCCAGACUCCUACGGGAGGCAGCAGUGGGGAAUAUUGCACAAUGGGCGCAAGCCGGAUGCAGCGACGCCGCGUGGGGGAUGACGGCCUUCGGGUUGUAAACUCCUUUCGCUAGGGACGAAGCUUUUUGUGACGGUACCUAGAUAAGAAGCACCGGCUAACUACGUG